CUUGACACCAGGCUUCUUCGUGCCAUGAUAACAAAAGGUCUCAUUGAGCCUAUUUCCAGUGUUUUCGUGAACUUGGUUAAUGCUGACUUCACUGCCAAACAAAGAGGACUACGGAUAACCGAGGAGCGAGUCAUUAUCGAUGGUUCGCCUGAGAAACCAUUAGAAUACAUUCAGGUCCAGAUUGCCAACGUGGAAUCCAAAUUUGCCAGUGCUAUAUCAGAUAGUGGAGAGAUAAAGGUGGAAGGACUUGUGAAAGAUGGAGUCCCUCACCUCACGAAGGUCGGGUCUUUUGAAGUCGAUGUUAGUCUGGAGGGCAGCAUCAUUCUCUGCAGGCAAGUUGACCAGCCAGGUAUGAUUGGAAAGGUUGGAAGCAUUCUUGGCGAAGAAAAUGUUAAUGUUAGUUUCAUGAGUGUUGGAAGGAUUGCGCCUCGGAAGCAAGCUGUUAUGGCCAUUGGUGUUGAUGAACAGCCCAGCAAGGAAUCCUUGAAGAGGAUUGGUGAUGUCCCAGCAAUUGAAGAGUUUGUUUUCCUCAAGUUGUAGAAUGUACUAUGGUCAUGACUCCCUUUCCUUCCCUCUUCCCUUUUUCCCCAAGAAAAAAAGAAAAAACUUAUUGGUUGCGAACCAUCCUCUCGGGAUUUGGGUACAUUCC
rnacentral:lncRNA from 1 species